CUGAUCAGUCAACUGACCACGAAGAUGGCAGACCUAAUCACCCAAUUCGGAAAAUUGAGUGAAAAGGGCUUUCACUCACCUGCAGGGGGGGUAUCACCCCUUCGUCCCAGUGCCGAGCCGACGCUACUGGAGCCAGAGAGAUUCUGGGGUCCAGGGAAGACCUCCGCACACUGAUGUCGCACACGCGGAUCACAACGUAGGAAACUUGUUUUCGCGCACUCGAAUAUAAAACACGUCCGGUA